UCAGAUCUUUAAAAUUUUUUAGUUCAAUAUCUUAAUCUUAUCUUUCAAUAGCUUUUAAAACUGCAAACUUUUUGAAAAAGCACUUGAUAAACGCAAACGAUAAAAUGGAGCAAACUUUAAAAUUUAGAGUGUAUUCUUUGAAUUGUGGGCAAUCUCGAGCGUUCAAUCUUUAUUCCGCUGUUGGCGCUGACCGGCCAGUGGGGAAAUUUUACCCUAACAGAAAAACGAAGAGUUUGACGGAGGAACAUAUGGGAAAACUGGGCAGGUAGUGAAGAUGAAAUGGAUUUUUCGGAUACUAAUAGCGUAGCAGGCCCAAAUUACAUUUUGAGUGAUUCAGAUGAGGACCAAAAAGAUUCUAGGGUAUUUGAGUAGGAAUUGGGUUAAGAGAUGCCAAUGGAGACGACAAAGUGAAAAUAAAGGAGUGUGAAAUGAAAGGCUGUGCCAUCUAAUAAAGUAAAGAAUAAUUCCAAAACAGGUCCAAAAAAAUACGUUUCUUUUUAAAACGUAACUUGGAAGCAGCACAAUCUUCAUUUAAAAGGUCUUUAGUUGCACUUCAUGGUGUGGAAGCCCUUUCUCAAUAAAUAAUAGCGUUGCAGAAUAUAUGCAGUUUUGUUAAAUAUUUUUUUAAGUGAUGAACUGAUAACAUAAGGCAAUUUAUUUGAAAGUGUUGUUAUAUAUCCCUAUUAAACUUGCCAAAUAAACGAUCUUACUGAAUAGGGAUAUAGCUUACG